AUAACGGUCCUAAGGUAGCGAAAUUCCUUGUCGGGUAAGUUCCGACCCGCACGAAUGGCGUAACGAUGGCCACACUGUCUCCUCCUGAGACUCAGCGAAGUUGAAGUGGUUGUGAAGAUGCAAUCUACCCGCUGCUAGACGGAAAGACCCCGUGAACCUUUACUGUAGCUUUGCAUUGGACUUUGAAGUCACUUGUGUAGGAUAGGUGGGAGGCUUUGAAGCAGAGACGCCAGUCUCUGUGGAGCCGUCCUUGAAAUACCACCCUGGUGUCUUUGAGGUUCUAACCCAGACCCGUAAUCCGGGUCGGGGACCGUGCAUGGUAGGCAGUUUGACUGGGGCGGUCUCCUCCCAAAGAGUAACGGAGGAGUUCGAAGGUUACCUAGGUCCGGUCGGAAAUCGGACUGAUAGUGCAAUGGCAAAAGGUAGCUUAACUGCGAGACCGACAAGUCGAGCAGGUGCGAAAGCAGGACAUAGUGAUCCGGUGGUUCUGUAUGGAAGGGCCAUCGCUCAACGGAUAAAAGGUACUCCGGGGAUAACAGGCUGAUUCCGCCCAAGAGUUCAUAUCGACGGCGGAGUUUGGCACCUCGAUGUCGGCUCAUCACAUCCUGGGGCUGUAGUCGGUCCCAAGGGUAUGGCUGUUCGCCAUUUAAAGUGGUACGUGAGCUGGGUUUAAAACGUCGUGAGACAGUUUGGUCCCUAUCUGCAGUGGGCGUUGGAAGUUUGACGGGGGCUGCUCCUAGUACGAGAGGACCGGAGUGGACGAACCUCUGGUGUACCGGUUGUAACGCCAGUUGCAUAGCCGGGUAGCUAAGUUCGGAAGAGAUAAGCGCUGAAAGCAUCUAAGCGCGAAACUCGCCUGAAGAUGAGACUUCCCUUGUGGUUUAACCACACUAAAGAGUCGUUCGAGACCAGGACGUUGAUAGGUGGGGUGUGGAAGCGCGGUAACGUGUGAAGCUAACCCAUACUAAUUGCUCGUGAGGCUUGACUCU
rnacentral:rRNA from 1 species